CAGAGGGGGAUAACGUUUGGAAACGAACGCUAGUACCGCAUGAUAUUAUUGGGCAGCAUUGCCUGAUAAUCAAAGGAGCAAUCCGCUGAAAGAUGGGCUCGCGUCCGAUUAGGUAGUUGGCGGGGUAACGGCCCACCAAGCCGACGAUCGGUAGCCGGACUGAGAGGUUGAACGGCCACAUUGGGACUGAGACACGGCCCAGACUCCUACGGGAGGCAGCAGUGAGGGAUAUUGGUCAAUGGGGGAAACCCUGAACCAGCAACGCCGCGUGAGGGAAGACGGUUUUCGGAUUGUAAACCUCUGUCCUCUGUGAAGAUGAUGACGGUAGCAGAGGAGGAAGCUCCGGCUAACUACGUGCCAGCAGCCGCGGUAAUACGUAGGGAGCAAGCGUUGUCCGGAUUUACUGGGUGUAAAGGGUGCGUAGGCGGCUUUGCAAGUCAGAAGUGAAAUCUAUGGGCUUAACCCAUAAACUGCUUUUGAAACUGCAGGGCUUGAGUGAAGUAGAGGUAGGCGGAAUUCCCGGUGUAGCGGUGAAAUGCGUAGAGAUCGGGAGGAACACCAGUGGCGAAGGCGGCCUACUGGGCUUUAACUGACGCUGAGGCACGAAAGCGUGGGUAGCAAACAGGAUUAGAUACCCUGGUAGUCCACGCUGUAAACGAUGAUUACUAGGUGUGGGUGGACUGACCCCAUCCGUGCCGGAGU
rnacentral:rRNA from 1 species